rnacentral:lncRNA from 1 species
UGAAUUUUACAGCUCUAAUUAAUGAUGAUUUUUAUGUAUUUCAUGAGUGUUAUUACCCUGUAAUUUAUCACCCUGUAGUUAGUCAUAUUAUGGGUUUUCUUUCUAACCCACAAAACGGUGGCAGAGGAGGGGGUCAGGGUUUGUCUGGGUUUUAAAGUUUGAAGUGCUUGGUAAUUUCUCUCUAAAGGAUGCAUAGCAUCUCAAGUCAUUGUCAUUUGGUUUAUAUCAUUUUACUCUAAACGACACACUACCCUUCAUCUAGAACCUUACAUGCCAGACAUUGAUUAGGCUUUAUAAUUGUGGUCCCCAAUACCUGUCUUCUCUUAAUCUAUUGUGGGUAACAUUGACAUGGAAAUAAGGUAUCCAAAGAUGAGACAUAUCUGUUGUUUUAGAGGAAGGUCGGAUAAGUGGUUUUGGGUGUAAGCAAUUUUAGUGUAUCUUAUUUUGAAUUAGUUAAAUUUUAGAAGUAAAAAUUGAGAGUCAGUUGGUGAGUUUAUAACAGCUCGCUGCAACUACUAUGUGGAAUAUUUGGUUAAGAUAGGAAGCUAUUUUUGAGAAAAAGUUCAGUUGUGUAUAAUUAAGACCAAGAAUAAGGCUUGCAGUGGUUGUGUGGGAUCAGGAAAAGCAAAAGAAGACUUUCGUCAUCUAUGGUUUAAUAGUCCAAUAAAAGUUAGUAUUAUGUAGCAGCAAUUAGAGCAUUUUAAUGUGGAAAUAUGUUGGCAACGGUGUAUUAGUGAAGUGGUGCAGUAGUGUAAGUGUUUGCAGCAGGUUGAAGUAGUGCAGCAGCCCAGGAGCAUUAGUACAGCGGUGCAACAAGGGUUAUCAUGCCCAAUAUAAUACUGACACACAGACGGGAGGGUGAUCUCUCCGCCUGCGUGUCAGCACCGUAUUAGCCAUGGAGUGAAUUUAUUAUGAAGUUCACUUCAUGCUAACCACUCC